GCUGUGACUCCGGGAACAGCUGUGGGGAGGACGCACCGUGUCCAUCAGCUGCUCGCCCCUGAUUUUCACGCCGUCGGAAACGGAGCGCUUUAACUCUUUGGCGCCCUGGGGUCUUCCUGCCCCGGGGGCGACUGUCAGGGGACGUCCACAGUGGCCUGGCGGGCGUGCGCAGGCCCGUGGCCGCGUCCUGGAGGCCUCUCGCCAUCGGACUCCAGCAGCUGUCACGGCGGCGCCGGGCAAGGAGACCACGGGCGAGGCCAGCAGAAGGUCAGGGCCGGCAGUGCGCUCACGGCAGGAAGCAGGGCCCAUAUCACUGCCGGUGCGGCCCUUAAAAGAUGCGCCCAUGACGCCUGCCGCCUGCCGUCUGGCUCGGAGCACCCCGGGACACGGGCGCCAGAGCCCUGGGCCCAGGCCCACAGACCACGGACCCACGCGCUGGGCCACACGGCCCGGAUGUGCUGCCUGGAGGUGUCCUCGGCCCAGAGCCCGGCCUCGCGUGUUAAAGCCGUCAAGCAGCUUCUCGGACAAGACCGAAGCCUGCACACAGCCUUCCCUGCUCUCCCCGUGGGUGGACCUCCACACAAGCUGGAAUCGCCGGUGGGAGCCACGACGCCCAGCCCACGACCAUGGGGUGGCCUGUGUCACCUCUGAGGUCAGCGGGGGGGCUGCGGAGCAGCAGCGUCCCCCCAGGGUCUGCCUUCAGGGAUGUGCCAGUGGCUCUCUCCCCAGGGAAGAAGAGGGAGCGGCAGGCCGCCUGCUCAUCAGGGCUCUCCAGACGCUCCGCGCACUUCAGGGUACGGGCGGCACGCGCCAGGCCACGGGCGAGCAGAGACGGAGCCGUGAAGCCCCACGUCCACCAAGCUGGGAAGAGCAAAGACGCUGGGCACUGCACGAGGAGCCAUCACGGGGAAGGUCAGGAAACGUACCUUUCCCACCCACGCCCCCUGGACCUGCUUCCUGAGCUGUCGACUCAUGUCCUCGAGGCCGUGGCCAGAAACGGGGGCCCAUGCGGGCUCUGAUCUGGAAAGUGAGUUUUCCUCUGAGCAAAACAAAAGAUCUGAAGCAGACACACCCUGUGGAAAGCUUUCUUUCCAAGCCAGCCUCGCAAAGAGGAAUUUUAAUCCAACCAUCUGCUUCCUCCACUUCUUGUCCACCUGGCUCUCAGACACAGAAAAGUCAGAGGCAGAGGGACACUCGCGGCUCUGGAAAUUUAGGGUCAAGAGCAAAGGACCCACCCCCACCCACCCAGAUGCUUCCCAGACAUACGCUGCCAGAAACCGCCCGGAGGAGUCCCGCUCAACUGCCUCGGCCCUAAGCUUAAGGCUUCGCUGCACCAGCCGCUGCCUUGGGCUGGCAGGGCCGUGAAAGGGCAGGACCUGCAGAGAAGCCUUGCAAUUCUGAGCCCAAACCCUUCUGUUCUGGGCAGAAGAGUCCAGGCUGCAGAGCUGCUCAGCAGCUACCAGGGAAGCCGGUGAACUGAGCCCAGGUGUCAGCAGUUAUCAGAGAAAUGACGCCCUCUCAUCUCAAACGUGGUAUCAGGUCAUCGCACCCGGGGUGCCUGGCACAGGGAAGUCGACUCAGCGGAGGGAGAGGGGGUUUGGGGUUGACUAUGAGGUCCACCCCCGCGUCCACCCUCCACGGGUCUGCGAGGAGCCACAGAGCAGAGUGAGAGGGCAGCCCACAACACUAGGGAGGACUGAGUGGGGCGGGCAGUCCCGGGAGGGGGGACUGGCCCCAUGGGUGUCUGAAGACCGAGCCUCUCCAAUGCCAACCUCCCACCUGCUCUGGGAAGCGGCCUCGUCCCCAUGCUGGGGGCCAGGAGGGACCAACCCCAAACUCAGGUCUCCUGGACACUCCGACCGCCUUCCUGGGCAACCAGCCAGCACAACGUACCACAAGCCUGAAAACCCAGCCUGGCACCUGGCUAGUGCCGCCACACUCCUCUGGGAGCCGACCCUGCAGAAGACCACUCCUCAGGCUCCACCCCUGACACAGGAGAGACGGCCCAGCGACCUCGGUCUCCACCGAAGCCCUUAACACAGAGAGAAGUCCCAGCGACCUUGGGGACACGGCUUCAGUCCCUGGUCUGGGAAGAGUCCACAUUCCACGGACAACUGAUUCAUGGACGUAGACCCCAAGCUCCGUACCAGGGAGAGCCACAGCGGUGAGAAGCCCAGACGCUCUGCCCCGAGGACCCCCGCUCUGCGCAACUACAGGAAAACCUGUGCACAGCACGAAGGCCCAGUGCAAUCAAAGAUGAACAAAUAAAAUCAGUUUUUCAAAAGCUGUCAUUAUUAAAAAAACAAA